rnacentral:rRNA from 1 species
GCCAGCAUUCAGUUGGGCACUCUAAGGUGACUGCCGGCUAAAAGUCGGAGGAAGGUGGGGAUGACGUCAAAUCAUCAUGCCCCUUAUGACCUGGGCUACACACGUGCUACAAUGGGCGGUACAAAGGGUCGCGAACCCGCGAGGGGGAGCCAAUCCCAAAAAAGCCGCUACUCCAAGUUCGGAUUGCAGGCUGCAACUCGCCUGCAUGAAGCCGGAAUCGCUAGUAAUCGCGGAUCAGCAUGCCGCGGUGAAUACGUUCCCGGGCCUU